rnacentral:rRNA from 1 species
AACGAACGCUGGCGGCAUGCCUAACACAUGCAAGUCGAACGAAGGCUUCGGCCUUAGUGGCGCACGGGUGCGUAACGCGUGGGAAUCUGCCCUCUGGUACGGAAUAACUCAGGGAAACUUGAGCUAAUACCGUAUAAUGACUUCGGUCCAAAGAUUUAUCGCCUGAGGAUGAGCCCGCGUCGGAUUAGCUAGUUGGUGAGGUAAAGGCUCACCAAGGCGACGAUCCGUAGCUUGUCUGAGAGGAUGAUCAGCCACACUGGGACUGAGACACGGCCCAGUCUCCUACGGGAGGCAGCAGUGGGGAAUAUUGGACAAUGGGCGCAAGCCUGAUCCAGCAAUGCCGCGUGAGUGAUGAAGGCCUUAGGGUUGUAAAGCUCUUUUACCCGGGAAGAUAAUGACUGUACCGGGAGAAUAAGCCCCGGCUAACUCCGUGCCAGCCGCCGCCGUAA